rnacentral:rRNA from 1 species
UAGGGAAUCUUCCGCAAUGGACGAAAGUCUGACGGAGCAACGCCGCGUGAGUGAAGAAGGAUUUCGGUUCGUAAAACUCUGUUGUUAGGGAAGAAAAAAUGUAUAGUAACUAUAUACAAAAGAGACGGUACCUAACCAGAAAGCCACGGCUAACUACGUGCCAGCAGCCGCGGUAAUACGUAGGUGGCAAGCGUUGUCCGGAAUUAUUGGGGGUAAAGCGCGCGCAGGUGGUUUAGAAAGUCUGAUGUGAAAGCCCACGGCUCAACCGUGGAGGGUCAUUGGAAACUAAUAAACUUGAGUGCAGGAGAGAAAAGUGGAAUUCCUAGUGUAGCGGUGAAAUGCGUAGAGAUUAGGAGGAACACCGGUGGCGAAAGCGGCUUUUUGGCCUGCAACUGACACUGAGGCGCGAAAGCGUGGGGAGCAAACAGG